CCUACGGGAGGCAGCAGUGGGGAAUUUUGGACAAUGGGCGCAAGCCUGAUCCAGCCAUGCCGCGUGUGGGAAGAAGGCCUUCGGGUUGUAAACCACUUUUGUCAGGGAAGAAACGGUCUGAACUAAUACUUUGGACUAAUGACGGUACCUGAAGAAUAAGCACCGGCUAACUACGUGCCAGCAGCCGCGGUAAUACGUAGGGUGCAAGCGUUAAUCGGAAUUACUGGGCGUAAAGCGUGCGCAGGCGGCUUUGCAAGACAGAUGUGAAAUCCCCGGGCUCAACCUGGGAACUGCAUUUGUGACUGCAUGGCUAGAGUACGGUAGAGGGGGAUGGAAUUCCGCGUGUAGCAGUGAAAUGCGUAGAUAUGCGGAGGAACACCGAUGGCGAAGGCAAUCCCCUGGACCUGUACUGACGCUCAUGCACGAAAGCGUGGGGAGCAAACAGGAUUAGAUACCCUGGUAGUCCACGCCCUAAACGAUGUCAACUGGUUGUUGGGAGGGUUUCUUCUCAGUAACGAAGCUAACGCGUGAAGUUGACCGCCUGGGGAGUACGGCCGCAAGGUUGAAACUCAAAGGAUUGACGG
rnacentral:rRNA from 1 species